rnacentral:rRNA from 1 species
GACGAACGCUGGCGGCGUGCUUAACACAUGCAAGUCGAACGGAAAGGCCCUGCUUUUGUGGGGUGCUCGAGUGGCGAACGGGUGGGUAACACGUGAGUAACCUGCCCUUGACUUUGGGAUAACUUCAGGAAACUGGGGCUAAUACCGGAUAGGAGCUCCUGCUGCCUGGUGGGGGUUGGAAAGUUUCGGCGGUUGGGGAUGGACUCGCGGCUUAUCAGCUUGUUGGUGGGGUAGUGGCUUACCAAGGCUUUGACGGGUAGCCGGCCUGAGAGGGUGACCGGCCACAUGGGGACUGAGAGACGGCGCAGACUCCUACGGGGGGCAGCAGUGGGGAAUAUUGCACAAUGGGCGGAAGCCUGAUGCAGCAGCGCCGGGUGCGUGAUGACGGCCUUCGGGGUGUAAACCGCUUUCGCCUGUGACGAAGCGUGAGUGACGGUAAUGGGUAAAGAAGCACCGGCUAACUACGUG